rnacentral:rRNA from 1 species
CGGGACGGGUGAGUAAUGUCUGGGAAACUGCCCGAUGGAGGGGGAUAACUACUGGAAACGGUAGCUAAUACCGCAUAACGUCGCAAGACCAAAGAGGGGACCUUCGGGCCUCUUGCCAUCGGAUGUGCCCAGAUGGGAUUAGCUUGUAGGUAAGGUAACGGCUUACCUAGGCGACGAUCCCUAGCUGGUCUGAGAGGAUGAUCAGCCACACUGGGACUGAGACACGGCCCAG